rnacentral:rRNA from 1 species
GGAGGAAAAGAAACCAACAGGGAUUGCCCUAGUAACGGCGAGUGAAGCGGCAACAGCUCAAAUUUGAAAUCUGGCGCAAGCCCGAGUUGUAAUUUGUAGAGGAUGCUUCUAGGUAGCGACCGGUCUAAGUUCCUUGGAACAGGACGUCAUAGAGGGUGAGAAUCCCGUAUGUGACCGGCCCGCACCUUCUACGUAGCUCCUUCGACGAGUCGAGUUGUUUGGGAAUGCAGCUCUAAAUGGGAGGUAAAUUUCUUCUAAAGCUAAAUACCGGCCAGAGACCGAUAGCGCACAAGUAGAGUGAUCGAAAGAUGAAAAGCACUUUGGAAAGAGAGUUAAAAAGCACGUGAAAUUGUUGAAAGGGAAGCGCUUACAACCAGACUUCUGGGCGGUGUUCCGCCGGUCUUUUGACCGGUCUACUCGCCGUCCCGAGGCCAACAUCAUCUGGGACCGCUGGAUAAGACCUCAGGAAUGUAGCUCCCCUCGGGGAGUGUUAUAGCCUGUGGUGAUGCAGCGCGUCUCGGGUGAGGUCCGCGCUUCGGCAAGGAUGUUGGCGUAAUGGUUGUCAGCGGCCCGUCUUGAAACACGGACCAAGGAGUCUAACAUCUAUGCGAGUGUUCGGGUGUCAAACCCCUACGCGUAAUGAAAGUGAACGGAGGUGGGAAGGGCAACCUGCACCAUCGACCGAUCCUGAUGUCCUCGGAUGGAUUUGAGUAAGAGCAUAGCUGUUGGGACCCGAAAGAUGGUGAACUAUGCCUGAAUAGGGUGAAGCCAGAGGAAACUCUGGUGGAGGCUCGCAGCGGUUCUGACGUGCAAAUCGAUCGUCAAAUUUGGGUAUAGGGGCGAAAG